rnacentral:rRNA from 1 species
UUAAGCGACUAAGCGUACACGGUGGAUGCCCUGGCAGUCAGAGGCGAUGAAGGGCGUGCUAAUCUGCGAUAAGCGCCGGUAAGGUGAUAUGAACCGUUAUAACCGGCGAUACCCGAAUGGGGAAACCCAGUGUGAUUCGUCACACUAUCAUUAACUGAAUCCAUAGGUUAAUGAGGCGAACCGGGGGAACUGAAACAUCUAAGUACCCCGAGGAAAAGAAAUCAACCGAGAUUCCCCCAGUAGCGGCGAGCGAACGGGGAGGAGCCCAGAGCCUGAAUCAGCAUGUGUGUUAGUGGAAGCGUCUGGAAAGGCGCGCGAUACAGGGUGACAGCCCCGUACACAAAAGCGCAUGUGCUGUGAGCUCGAUGAGUAGGGCGGGACACGUGGUAUCCUGUCUGAAUAUGGGGGGACCAUCCUCCAAGGCUAAAUACUCCUGACUGACCGAUAGUGAACCAGUACCGUGAGGGAAAGGCGAAAAGAACCCCGGCGAGGGGAGUGAAAAAGAACCUGAAACCGUGUACGUACAAGCAGUGGGAGCCCCACCACUAAGCCAGUGGUGAACUCCACAUCCGCAUCCUUUGCUGAGGAUACGGUUAACGGAGCGAAAGCGACGUUCAACCGCAAAACAAGCAGAGGGGGCUUAGUGGUGGGGUGACUGCGUACCUUUUGUAUAAUGGGUCAGCGACUUAUAUUCUGUAGCAAGGUUAACCGAAUAGGGGAGCCGGAGGGAAACCGAGUCUUAAUUGGGCGUUAAGUUGCAGGGUAUAGACCCGAAACCCGGUGAUCUAGCCAUGGGCAGGUUGAAGGUUGGGUAACACUAACUGGAGGACCGAACCGACUAAUGUUGAAAAAUUAGCGGAUGACCUGUGGCUGGGGGUGAAAGGCCAAUCAAACCGGGAGAUAGCUGGUUCUCCCCGAAAGCUAUUUAGGUAGCGCCUCGUGAAUUCAUCUCCGGGGGUAGAGCACUGUUUCGGCUAGGGGGCCAUCCCGGCUUACCAACCCGAUGCAAACUGCGAAUACCGGAGAAUGUUAUCACGGGAGACACACGGCGGGUGCUAACGUCCGUCGUGAAGAGGGAAACAACCCAGACCGCCAGCUAAGGUCCCAAAGUCAUGGUUAAGUGGGAAACGAUGUGGGAAGGCCCAGACAGCCAGGAUGUUGGCUUAGAAGCAGCCAUCAUUUAAAGAAAGCGUAAUAGCUCACUGGUCGAGUCGGCCUGCGCGGAAGAUGUAACGGGGCUAAACCAUGCACCGAAGCUGCGGCAGCGAACGUAUCACUUAAAGCGAUUCAGCGGGUUACGAUUGACGGAGCGAAGCGACGUCAAAGCGUAUACAAAGUCGAGUCGGUUUAAGGAUACGUUCGUUGGGUAGGGGAGCGUUCUGUAAGCCCGUGAAGGUGGCCUGUGAGGGUUGCUGGAGGUAUCAGAAGUGCGAAUGCUGACAUAAGUAACGAUAAAGCGGGUGAAAAGCCCGCUCGCCGGAAGACCAAGGGUUCCUGUCCAACGUUAAUCGGGGCAGGGUGAGUCGACCCCUAAGGCGAGGCCGAAAGGCGUAGUCGAUGGGAAACGGGUUAAUAUUCCCGUACUUGGUGUUACUGCGAAGGGGGGACGGAGAAGGCUAUGUUGGCCGGGCGACGGUUGUCCCGGUUUAAGCGUGUAGGUGUGUGUUCCAGGUAAAUCCGGUUCACUUUAACACUGAGGCGUGACGACGAGGCACUACGGUGCUGAAGCAACAAAUGCCCUGCUUCCAGGAAAAGCCUCUAAGCAUCAGGUAACAUCAAAUCGUACCCCAAACCGACACAGGUGGUCAGGUAGAGAAUACCAAGGCGCUUGAGAGAACUCGGGUGAAGGAACUAGGCAAAAUGGUGCCGUAACUUCGGGAGAAGGCACGCUGACAUGUAGGUGAAGUGAUUUACUCAUGGAGCUGAAGUCAGUCGAAGAUACCAGCUGGCUGCAACUGUUUAUUAAAAACACAGCACUGUGCAAACACGAAAGUGGACGUAUACGGUGUGACGCCUGCCCGGUGCCGGAAGGUUAAUUGAUGGGGUCAGCGCAAGCGAAGCUCCUGAUCGAAGCCCCGGUAAACGGCGGCCGUAACUAUAACGGUCCUAAGGUAGCGAAAUUCCUUGUCGGGUAAGUUCCGACCUGCACGAAUGGCGUAAUGAUGGCCAGGCUGUCUCCACCCGAGACUCAGUGAAAUUGAACUCGCUGUGAAGAUGCAGUGUACCCGCGGCAAGACGGAAAGACCCCGUGAACCUUUACUAUAGCUUGACACUGAACAUUGAGCCUUGAUGUGUAGGAUAGGUGGGAGGCUUUGAAGUGUGGACGCCAGUCUGCAUGGAGCCGACCUUGAAAUACCACCCUUUAAUGUUUGAUGUUCUAACGUGGACCCGUUACCCGGGUUGCGGACAGUGUCUGGUGGGUAGUUUGACUGGGGCGGUCUCCUCCUAAAGAGUAACGGAGGAGCACGAAGGUUGGCUAAUCCUGGUCGGACAUCAGGAGGUUAGUGCAAUGGCAUAAGCCAGCUUGACUGCGAGCGUGACGGCGCGAGCAGGUGCGAAAGCAGGUCAUAGUGAUCCGGUGGUUCUGAAUGGAAGGGCCAUCGCUCAACGGAUAAAAGGUACUCCGGGGAUAACAGGCUGAUACCGCCCAAGAGUUCAUAUCGACGGCGGUGUUUGGCACCUCGAUGUCGGCUCAUCACAUCCUGGGGCUGAAGUAGGUCCCAAGGGUAUGGCUGUUCGCCAUUUAAAGUGGUACGCGAGCUGGGUUUAGAACGUCGUGAGACAGUUCGGUCCCUAUCUGCCGUGGGCGCUGGAGAACUGAGGGGGGCUGCUCCUAGUACGAGAGGACCGGAGUGGACGCAUCACUGGUGUUCGGGUUGUCAUGCCAAUGGCACUGCCCGGUAGCUAAAUGCGGAAGAGAUAAGUGCUGAAAGCAUCUAAGCACGAAACUUGCCCCGAGAUGAGUUCUCCCUGAGACUUAGAGUCUCCUGAAGGAACGUUGAAGACGACGACGUUGAUAGGCCGGGUGUGUAAGCGCAGCGAUGCGUUGAGCUAACCGGUACUAAUGAACCGUGAGGCUUAACCUU